UACAGAGGUCCCAAGCGUUGUUCGGAUUCACUGGGCGUAAAGGGUGCGUAGGUGGUCGGGUAAGUCUGAUGUGAAAUCUCCGAGCUCAACUCGGAAAUGGCAUUGGAUACUAUCUGGCUAGAGGAGUGGAGGGGGACUGGAAUACUUGGUGUAGCAGUGAAAUGCGUAGAUAUCAAGUGGAACACCAGUGGCGAAGGCGAGUCCCUGGACACUUCCUGACACUGAGGCACGAAAGCUAGGGGAGCAAACAGG
rnacentral:rRNA from 1 species